rnacentral:rRNA from 1 species
GGGGGGAGCAAGCGUUGUUCGGAUUUACUGGGCGUAAAGGGCGCGUAGGCGGUCAGCACAAGUCAGUUGUGAAAUCUCCGGGCUUAACUCGGAAAGGUCAACUGAUACUGUGCGACUAGAGUGCAGAAGGGGCAACUGGAAUUCUCGGUGUAGCGGUGAAAUGCGUAGAUAUCGAGAGGAACACCUGCGGCGAAGGCGGGUUGCUGGGCUGACACUGACGCUGAGGCGCGAAAGCCAGGGGAGCGAACGGGAUUAGAUACCCCGGUAGUCCUGGCCUUAAACGAUGGAUGCUUGGUGUCUGGGGUUUUAUAGUCCCCGGGUGCCGUAGCUAACGCGUUAAGCAUCCCGCCUGGGGAGUACGGUCGCAAGACUG